AUGGCAGUCGGCUACAUAGCCGUCGACUACUUCGACGUGUCGUGCAGCCAGGAUUCUGUGCUGCGCCCCAACCUAGGCGGCCGCAGCGGCGAUGGUGCUGCUGCUCCCAUGCCGCGUUGCCAGGCCCGCCGCGCCCUCGCCUACCUCGCGCUCGCGGUCACCUUCCUCUUCCAUUGCAUCUACGCCGGCGCCGUUUGGAUCUUCCUCGCUGCCGACCCAGGAUACAUCUUCGGCAAGAUCUUUUUUACCGUGGUCAUCUGCCUCAUCCUGGUGUGCAAUCUGACCUGCCUGUCUGAUCUCCUUUAA
rnacentral:rRNA from 1 species